rnacentral:rRNA from 1 species
GACGUAGGAGGCGAGCGUUAUCCGGAUUCACUGGGCGUAAAGCGCAUGUAGGCGGAUGUCUAAGUCGUGUGUUAAAGCCCCUGGCUCAACUGGGGGAGGUCAUGCGAGACUGGAUGACUUGAGGGCAACAGAGGCACGUGGAACUCCCGGUGUAGCGGUGGAAUGCGUAGAGAUCGGGAAGAACACCCGUGGCGAAGGCGGCGUGCUGGGUUGCAACUGACGCUGGAGAUGCGAAAGUGUGGGGAGCAAACGGG